rnacentral:ncRNA from 1 species
UAAAUAUUUAAUGGUAUUAUUAGAUAUAUGUAAGUUUUAGCAUGAUUAUAUUAUAUUUUAUAAAAUUAUAAUAUAUCUUUAUUUGCAGUAUAUAAUUUUAAUUAUUAAGGAAAUUUAGAAUUAGGAAUAAUAUAGAGUAUUAACAAAAUUUGUGCCAGCAGUAGCGGUUAUACAAAUGAUACAAUUAAAUUUUAUUUUAUUAUAGUUAAUAGAUUAAUAAUUAAUUAAAUAUUAAAUUUAUUAGGUGAAAUUAUAAAUUUAAAUAUAUUUAUAAAUUAAUAUAUGAGGCUAUUAAAUUUAAUUAAUAGACUAGGAUUAGAUACCCUAUUAUUUUAAAUGUAAAUAUUAAAUAAAAUUAGUAUUAGUUAUUUUCUUGAAAUUUAAAGAUUUUGGCGGUAUUUUAGUCUCUUCAGAGGAACCUGUUCUAUAAUCGAUAGUCCACGAUAAAUAUUACUUAUUUUAAUUAGUUUGUAUAUCGUCGUAAUUGGGUAUUUCAUUAGAAUUAAAAUAUUCAAAAUUUAAAAUAAUAAAUUAAAUCAGAUCAAGGUGCAAUUUAUAGAUAAGAAGAAAUGGGUUACAAUAAAAAUAUUUAUAUGAAUAAAUUAAUGAAAAAAAUUUUGAAGGUGGAUUUGAAAGUAAUAAAAUUUAUUUAAAUUUUAUGAUUUUAGCUCUAAAAUAUGUACAUAUCGCCCGUCGCUUUCAUAAGAUUUGGAAUAAGUCGUAACAAAGUAGAUGUAUUGGAAAAUGUUUCUAGAAUUCA